UAUAGCUUAUUCAUUUAUAUUGACACUAAUUAUUUUGCGCAUGAAGGCUUGCAGCAGAGUUUAAUGGUUUAUUGUGAGGGUGAGUUAGUGAAGGUAACACUGUCUUCAAACCACCCCCCGUGCAAACAGCAAUUACCGAGGCAACAAUGGCAUACAAUUUGCUUGAGCCAUCAUGGACGAGCAUACACAGGCACGCCAGAAAUGUGGCGGUGCCAAGCAGCAUUUUGUAGAUGCUCUUCUCACUUUGCAAUACAAAUGUGAUCUUAGUGAAGACACCAUAAUUGGUCUCCUAUGGGACAUGAGGGGCCAUGAUUUUAGGCUACUUCCUUUUGGAGCAGGCCGUCGGGUAUGUCCGGGUGCAUAACUUGGAAUCAAUAUGAUGACAUCUAUGUUGGGUCAUCUGUUGCACCAUUUCUGUUGGGUACCACCUGAGGCAGUGAACCCUGAGGAGAUUGAUAUGGUAGAGAACCCUGGAAUGGUUACAUAUAUGAGGACUCCAUUACAGGUGAUGUACUCUCUGGAACAUUAUCUUCAAGUGCAGAACAUCACUACAGUAUCCUUGAAGGAUGGUUUGGUGUGCAUUGGUGGACUGGAUGAACGGUUAUUGUCCUUCUUACGACAGUUACUAUAUUUUCUCCCCUAGCAUGCUUUAAGCGAAUUGGUUGAUGAGGAGAGAUCCAAUGGGUUCACUUGGAUAUGCCAGUUUGAAGCCGUCUCUAAAUAAGAUAGCUGAAUCUACUGACGGCCGUCCUUCUGAGAUGGGCAUGGUUGCUACCUCGAGAAACGACGAGGUACUUGAAAGUCAAACUGUUCUGAAAAGUGAUCAUUGCCCUGGAUGUCAAAAUCCAAGAUUGUUCUGAAAAAGUUGAGGAGGUUGUUGCCAAGCAAAAGAAGGAGGCUGUGAUUCAGAAAGUUGAGGAGGAAAAUAGUUCAGAGGAAGAUUCCUCUGAAUCUGAGGAUGCUGUUAUGUUGUUUUACUCGAGGCAUGCUAUUUUUUGUGAUAUCAGAAACCUGUUGUGAAAGCCGCUAACAUGUCAAAGUAGAAGAAGGCUUUGGUUCUUGAGGUGCUUACCACUAAUUUAUUUUUAGUUCUCCAUCAUAAUCAGGUUGAGGAUUAUCUUCAGCAUGUGACUAAUGUAUUUCCAUUACAGGUUCGAACCCAAGUGGAUUGUUGCGGGUGACCCGACGCCUCUUCAUUUUGAUCCUUCACAGCUACCAACUGAGUUACUCUUACCACUUUUUUACCCAAUUAAUUUGUUUUGUGAUUUACGUGGUUAUUUAUAUACUUUUGUGAUUAUUUAUUGAAUAGUUUUGCAGUAAAAAGUUACCAUUCCUAAUGCUGCUCUGAUAACUUUUUACUGACUUUUGGAUGUCCAUGCUAUAUUGUGAAUAUAGGUUAUGUCAUUGACUUGAGUAUGUUUAGCCGAGUAUAUGGUUAUUUCAAGAAAAUACAAUUGUUUACUGGCCUUAUAUGGUAAAAGUUGCUUCAAUUAGAAUUUUUUUAUGUUUGUAAAUUUUGAAUGACUGGAAUAUGAAUCUGUAAUAUGUUCCUUCAUUAAUUAUUUUCAUCCUUUUGAGGUGGGUGAUUGCUUUUGCUU